rnacentral:rRNA from 1 species
UACGUAGGGUGCAAGCGUUGUCCGGAAUUAUUGGGCGUAAAGAGCUCGUCGGCGGCCUGUCACGUCGACUGUGAAAACCCGAGGCUCAACCUCGGGCCUGCAGUCGAUACGGGCAGGCUAGAGUUCGGUAGGGGAGACUGGAAUUCCUGGUGUAGCGGUGAAAUGCGCAGAUAUCAGGAGGAACACCGGUGGCGAAGGCGGGUCUCUGGGCCGAAACUGACGCUGAGGAGCGAAAGCGUGGGGAGCAAACAGG